UUUCUUGAUUUCUUUCCAGAGCUGUCAUCUUCAAUAGACUUAACCGUUUUUACCUCAAGGAAGACAGCAGUCCUUGUCAGGUCCAACUUUCCUGAACGUGGAGACAUCAUCCAGCGAAAAGUCACCAGUGAUAUUCAUACCUAUUAAGUCAGAUACACCAUAUAGAUCUUAGAGGAAAACCAUAACAAUGCAUUUUGGUGUACUUCUCGUGGUUAGUUUUGCACUGGUCAAGCUUUCUGUACAUGGUGCAUGCUUACUCGAGCCACGAAAUCUGACAGUGACUAGAAUCCAAAGCCGUGUUUUGAACAUCUCGUGGGUGAAGCCUGAAAAUAAU